UCCCUGGUGAUCCAGUGGCUAAGACCCUACACUCUCAAUGUAGGGGGCCCAGGUUCUAUUCCUGGUCAAGGAA
rnacentral:tRNA from 1 species